rnacentral:lncRNA from 1 species
AAAUAACCCUAUCAAGGAAUGCCUCCCAACCUACUCCAUGACUACCUAGCCUGGGACCCUAAAAUCCUCCAUGUCUCUGAUCACCCUGGAAAAGCCUAAGACUCCAGGCUUUUAACGCUACCAAGGCAGGAGCCAACAUGGAGCUGCCACAACAGCUUGGCAGAAGAGCCUGCAAUCGAGUCGGUUCACCAGAACUAGAAGUCAGCGUAGACUGCGCAAAGCAAGAGUGAUGGCCCAAACCC